CACAGCUGAGGGGUGGAGCUGAGAUUUGAACCCAGAUGUCCUUUUGGGAAAAUUACUAUUUGCCAACUUUAUUCUCAAUGGUUACAGCACAUCUGUAAAGACCUUCAAAAGCAAACUGUGAAGACAAGGAGUGGUUAUCAUAUGGGAUAUUUCCGAACCCAAUGACUUCAGAAUCUGCAGAUUCUGAAAUGCAGCCUACACUGAGUCUAACAAGAACUACAAACGAUGCUAAGAUGUGUCUACAAAUGACGCUAAGGUUCUUUCCAGAUCUGAACCUCAAAAAGUGACCUCAAAGUAAUGUGGUGGAUUCAAUAAUGGAUUAAAAGAAAAAGCCAUUAAGCCUCCAGAAACAAGAACUGAAAAUCACUUAGCAGUGGAGCCUGAGGGCAAAGACCAAGGACUUUCAGAAACUAUGAACAAUUAGUUAAAUGAGACUGAUAGAAUAUUGUUGAGUAGAAAGUCUCUGAGAAAAAUGAAGCCAGAAAUCAUUCAUUUGGGGGAGAAUUUUUUUUGUGGCUAAGUUGUUUAACCCAAAAAUAGAAAUCUGAUAAUAAAAGUUAUAAGAACAAUUUUCCUCACUGGCAGUUAAUAAUAAACAUAUUAAAUAUCACAUUUCUAUUGUGAUAAAUUACUAUAAUGUCAAAGCCUGAUAAGACUUUACCUUGUUAUCCACUGUCAUUCCUCUAAUUUUAGAAGGAUUAACCAACCAGUUCUUGCUAAAUUGUAGGCACACAUACAAAAAAAAAGUGAGUCUUGGUGAACACAGGAUGUCUAGCCAGCCUCAGGUUAUCUUCAGUCUUCACAUUCUUGACGUUCCAGGAAUGAUGCGCGAGUUUAGGUUGGUUCUAGGAUAGGCCCAGGGGCCUGGUUUGAUCUGGGAUCCCUGGGACCAUACCUAGAACAAACCCAAACAAAACCAAAUUCCUUGGGAGUGCUUUCAGCUCAGGUAGACUUCUGGGCUUUCACUCAUAUGGACCUCCAGGGCUGUACCAGGACCACACGCCAAUCUUUAAGGGAUAGGAGUUACAUUUCUGGAGCUUUCUGUACGUUGCCAGAUGCUAGUACUGUGGCUGAGUAAGCAUUGUUUAAGUCAUGAACAGAAGGUACAGGUUGGUACAAUAAAAGUGCAGAAAACACUAUUAUUUAGA
rnacentral:lncRNA from 1 species